GCCCAUAUAGCUCAGUUGGUAGAGCGCUUCCAUGGUAAGGAAGAGGUCGCAAGUUCAAUUCUUGCUGUGGGCACCA
rnacentral:tRNA from 1 species